GACCGUGUAGCUCAGUUGGCAGAGCGUUGGGUCGUAGGUUCAAUUCGGUUCGAUUCCCACCAUGGCCA